CAGCCGCCACGGUAAUACGUAGGUGGCAAGCGUUGUCCGGAAUUAUUGGGCGUAAAGGGCUCGCAGGCGGUUUCUUAAGUCUGAUGUGAAAGCCCCCGGCUCAACCGGGGAGGGUCAUUGGAAACUGGGAAACUUGAGUGCAGAAGAGGAGAGUGGAAUUCCACGUGUAGCGGUGAAAUGCGUAGAGAUGUGGAGGAAUACCAGUGGCGAAGGCGACUCUCUGGUCUGUAACUGACGCUGAGGAGCGAAAGCGUGGGGAGCGAACAGGAUUAGAUACCCCCGUAGUCCCUGUCUCUUAUAC
rnacentral:rRNA from 1 species